CUCAAGUCAAGAGGGUGUUUCUGAAAAAAAAGAAAAUCUUUUGUUGUCUAUUCAAUAUCUGAUACGUUCUCUAUUUGAGGACUCUAUAUGAAAUGGAUUUUUAGAGCUGGAAGAGGGGCUUGCUCCAUCCACGCCACACAUCAACCUGGUAUUACAGUACCUCCACGAAUAGUGCACCUUCU